UGUGGAUGUGAAACGUGAACCGCCUCCUGAAAUUUUUUUUCCGUGCACUAUUAUGUGCAGUGUAAGUGGUUUAGACUUUACUAACGCGCCUCUUGCACCUUUUCUGUUCCGAUUUCGGCAUUUGAUGUCAAUCGUUUGUGACGAGAGGUAAUAAUGAGUUCUUUUAUUGUAUAUUCACCCAAUGCCCGUGGCCUCCACAGGGCCCGCACUUGGUGUCUGGACACCCGGUUUUCGCCAUUUUUAGGUUAAGGGUCGGAAAUAUAAAUUUGAACCGGAUUCACUAUUGCGUAUUGUAUUGUUUCUAGGCUCUCCGAAAACCACCCUCCGAGACGUUUCUUUAUUUUUUUUUCAGCUAUGGUGUCAUGUAUGGGUAUUUUCUUCUUGCUCUGGUGCCUUCCCCCUCUCGACGGAU